GAAAUUUAAAUAAGACCUGGAAUCUUUUAUUAUCGUUUUUACUAUUGAGACACAUUCCCUGCCCCCCCCCCCCCGUAAAUUGAUCAGAAGUGAGGGUGUAGGCAUACAACUUUUUUCAUCUUUUGUUACUCACACUUCUUUUCUAAUUCAACGUCAAGGGUGGAGUCCACCAAUCUUUUUAUUUGCAGAUGAGCAACUAAAACUUAGUUAACUAAAUUCCAAUGCGUCUCUCUAGGGCAGACUGCAUUUACUGGAGUUUAAAGGCAGCCCCGAAUGUGUAGAUGAUAUUUAUUGCACGAGUCCAUAAGACAACACCUUCAAGUUGGUAGGUACAAACGAAAAAGGAAACCACAGUGGAGGAAAUCCUGUUCCAGGUUUUCGGGCGGCCCGUGUGAUUGACACAUGAUAUCACUGGAGGCGUGUCCUGCAGUGGAGGUGGAGGUGGAGGCUUGGAGCUGAAAUUGUGCGGAGCGGGACUCAGUUCGCUCUGUAAAGCACGCAAGGGUUUGCAGGGUGCAAGCCACAGACCGGGCUCCCUGCCCUGGAUCAGGAGCCGCUACAUCGCUGUACACGUGCCUGAAAAGCAAUUUGCAACCUUUGCGCUAGCAGGCAUUUGCGCUGUGGACGCGCGGGGUCGAGAGACUGAGAGGGAGCGCUGUCCCGGAGAAGCUGACCUGCCAGGAGCCGAGUUCCCGAGGACGCUGUGCCCCAACUUGCCCAGCGUGCGGCAUCGCGAAAGCGCCCCGGCCUGCGCGGGGACCAGGGACGCCGCCGCCCUCUGUUUCUCUCUGAGGAGGACCUCCCCGAAAAACAAACAAACAAAACC